CCUCCACCUCUGAUUUGUGAUGGGAAUUUGGCAGUUACUUGCGGAGAACAGGUUUGUACUGGUAAAGAAUCCAGGAACACUGAUGAGGUUAACUAUCCGCCGUUACAUUACUAAAAUACAAAAAAAAAGACGCCAGGCAUAAUGUUUCACAAUUUCGACAGGCAUGCGUAUGUUUUUGACAACACAGAUAAUCAAAUCUUAAAUUUCCGUGUAAAUUUUAUUAGAUUCGGUUCAGUAAUAAGAAAGUUGAUAUUUUCUAAAUUUUAGUUAUUUAUCUUUCUAUCCCCAGAACCACUAUAACGGUCCUUAAAUUGUCAAAUUCAAAUCCGCGCCAAAGUAGUCGCAUUUCCCGGUUAUAUCGUCAUUCCCGUGGAAAUCGUCAAAUUUCACGGCUAUGUAAUGAGUUCCGUGUAAAUCCGAUAUUUCGCGGGACAUAUCCCUACAAAUAGAAUGGACUAGAUAUCAUUAGUACACACCAUCUUCGACUGUUAGACGAAAUAAUGUCAUUUUGAUUUCUUGGUUGAAAAUUUUUGCUCGAUCGAGGGGAAGCAUGAAAACUGGUGUAUGGCAAUUCUUUCAGCAAAACACCUAUACCUUUGUGAGCCUGUCAAAAUAUUUUGUUGAUACAAAGAGAUAUAAAUUACUUGCAGAUUUAUUUAUUCGGCUAAAUGGGGACAACAGUAAUCAAAUGUGUACGCCAUUUAUUUAGCAAACAUACUGAACAGAUGUGAAUAUACAUGUCAGUUCGACAGUGAACAGGCGCUGUUGGUAUUUUUCGAUUUAAACGAUGAUAAAUCUUUUAAUAUAUACAGCAUGAGAAUAAGCAGUCUAUCGUGUGGUUAGACAAUACUUGUACAACAGGCGCCAAGAAACUAUUAUUUAUUGUGCUUAUAAGACCUGUCCUCACUGAAAAUACUGUUAAUAACCCAAACAUCAGUACUGAUUUCAUGUCGACAUUGUACAAUGAUCAUCGAACAGAACGCAUUUCCACGGAACACUUGAUUAAGCAAUGGUCCAUGUUGAUGCUAUUUCUUUAAAGGAAAAGUGUCAAUAAUCUGCAACCAAUUUAACUGCUGUGCAACAAACUUGAAGAAAGGCGUAAAGAUGUAGUUUUGUUUUUAUUUUGUAUUUAUUAGGUUUAUAAAGAAGAGCUUUAACGUAUCAGUCAUUUUGCUUGUCAAAGGUUUCGCAUUUCCAGACCACGUGAUCUAAAAGGCGGUGCGAUCGGACGUUUGUUGACUGGUCAAUUUAUGAUGUCAUAUUUAUAAUCUUGAAAACAUAUAACUGACGGAAUAUACUGUUUUCAACUCUAUAAUUUGUUACGCUGUUUUAUGUACCAAUUAGUUUGUUAUUCACGAAGCUAUGUUGACAGCUAAAGUUAUUGCAUUUUAUAUUUUAGAAAAGAAUGUAUUGUAUCAAACAUCUUGUAAAAUGUUGCUUUGUUUGUAGAAGUAAUUAGUUGUAUUACUAUACUAUACUGUUUGAAUAAAAAGAAAACAACAACAAAAAUAUGCAACGUAUUAUGUUUCCUGCUAACUUCAUCCUCAUUAGACAUUUCUAUUAUUGAUUACAUUGAUAUAGUCAUACAAUUUAAAAUGUAUAGUAACCAUUUUCAUUUUUACUUUUCAUUUCAUCUAUAUAUACACUCCUUUCUUAAUUUUUGUUAUGUUUCAGGAAAAUAAAGAAUGCAGGUGUCUUACUCUUCUACGAAUGAUUUUGAUUCUUAGUGCUUUCAAUUAUUUAUCUCUAUAUUUUACGAGAGUCAGAUUUUUUUAUUUAUCGGCAGGUAAUUUGAGCAAAAAAUCAAAUGUUUGAAUUACUUUAUUUUAAUAUAGUGUUUUGUAGGUUCCAUAAUUAUUUGGAUUGCAAAUAACAUGAAAUAAGAUCAAAAUAAGAUUUUGUAAUAUAAACUUUGGAUAUUUUUAGUUUAUUUGUAUCAUAUUUUCAUAUGUAGGACCGAAAAAUAAGAGUUUUUCCCCAGUUGAGUUAUCGUCCUUGACAUUUGUGUUUUUCAUACUGCCAAGAAGUAGGCCUUAUAAAAAAGCCAAAAAAGGAUAAUGUUCCUAUGCAGAACAAUUGAGGCCGUUGAUGGAUCGGAUAACUUGAUAGACCCAUAUUUGCUACACAACAGUUAAAAUAGUUAUUAAAGUGUAUAUACGCAUUAACGGGAAAAAGACGAUCAUAAUAAAUGUAUACACUAUAUUUCAUUACAGGAUUUCUUUAUAUUAACCUAUAGAUGCGUUUUCAGCAAACUAGAUGGAUAACAUCAAUGCAAGGUUUUAUCUUCAAAUUAUCGCAAAUAGUGUGUUUUGCCUAUUUAUGGAUUACUUAAGCUGAAAAUAGAAAAAAAAAAAAAAAAAAAAAAAAAAAAGUAAUGACUUCUUUUUAUGAACCGCUUCAUAGAUCUUUAUCAUGCCCAGUCUAUAACAAUAUUGUAAGGUUAUCUUCAAAUGCAAUUGCUUUUUCAUUAUCUGCUUAUCUGAGGAAAUGAACAAAUUGUCGUCUUUUAGUAAAAACGGAAAUAUAUCUCACGUUUUAUUACAUUUGAGCAGCAUUUGAACACUUGUCAAGUGUCAAUAUUUUUUUUUUGCAUGUUUUUUUUAAUGUUUAUUAAUCUUCUAGUUAGACAUUUAUCUUUUUAAUUUAAUUUGAUAUUUGAUAUUGCAUUCAUAUUUGUUUGAUACCUCUGCGGAAAGAGCGUCUUAUUUCAGAAUUAUACCAAGGUCUAUCUUUAGUUCUUAUGACUGAAAAUUAUGUAUGUACUUCUUAUCUUUGAACAGUAUGUAUAUGUAUUUUGCCCAUACCAGACAGUAGAAUGCCAAACAUAGAAAUUAUAUGUGUAUACCAUUGUCCAAAAUUAAAAGCUUAAUUGAAAUUCACUGCAUUAAAAUUGAACAUUGACACUUAAAUAGGCAAACGUAACACAUGUAUAACACGUGAGAAAUCGUCUUCAAAAAUAAAAACAUUUAAAUUGGCAAUCAUUACACACUUGAAAGGAUAAUCAGAAACGUAAUGACAUCCGUUCCUUUCAGUAAAACUUCAAUUGGUUUUUCUACAUGGGUAAUUAUCCUACAAUUUAUAAAAUUAUACGUACCCUCGAAAAAGUGAUUGGUUACUACAGACCACCAAAGCAGACGAAAAGUUAAAAUGAAUUGGUCUUCGACAGAUUAAAACUUAAACACUUUAUCAUGACAUUUUGUUUAGUUUAAAACUUAUUUAAAGGGUAUGCUAGAUUCCUUUAGUUACAACUAUUUGAUCUUGAAUUUUAUUAAAAUAUAACUUGAUUUAUUUACAGAAGUAUUACUGAUGAAUUAAUAUUGUCUCGUAGUUACUUAUGUAUAAGUUAAGUUAAAGCAUAUUUAAUAAUAAAAGAUGAUUUAGUUUAGGGACACCAUGCUUCGAAUUUAGAACAAACCUAUUAUUUCAUAGCAUGUUUACUAUAAAAAUGUAUAUUGGUUCUUAUCUGAUCGAAUGCAUUUUAAAGGGUGGGUAGGAAUAUCACUAGCUUGUGUUUGGGAUUUAAAUACAACUUUUUCCAUAUAUUUUACAUUGUUUUAACUUUAGAAAGAUAAUUCCUACCUCUCAAAGGCGAUGGAACACUAUGGACCUACAAUUUAAAUUAAGGUGGUCAAGGACAGACUAAUAAUAAAACAGCCUGUAAUUUUGUUCCGUUCCAUUGAUGUUCAACGCAACUGCGUGUAAUCUGAUGUUCAAUACAAUUUUCAAUGAAAUUAAGAAGACAUAUCACGAUCGCUUUUCUCAUAAAAUGGUAUUAUAAUUUAAAUCUGCCAUUAAACAAUUAGGACAAUAGCACUUAUUAACAAAAAUCAUAAUGAAAACAAUAAUAGUUUACAAACACCUGAAGAUGUUUAUUUAAGCAUACAGUGACUACUUUUCUGUUCCAUUAGUCUUUCAUAAGAGCUCAGUUUGAGCUAUUAUGACCGGUUAUCGUUCGUCUGUUUGCUGAUAUUGUGUCUGUAGCCUCAUUGUAAGGUACUCUCCUAUUUUGUUCAAAAUAUAGAGUUACAUAUCAAAGUACAUUUAGACAAUUUCGUCCCAUUAGCCAAUAGGCUGGCUUCAAACUGGAUGGGCAUCAAUAAUAGAUCAUUUCUCUAAAUUAACCUUUAAAUGAUUAAUUUUCAAUAAUCGCUUUAUGGAUCUUUGUCAGACCUGGUCUAUAGCAUCAUUGUAAGGUGCAUUCCCAAUUUUGUUGAAAAUGCUGCUAAACGACAAUUUACGUAAUUGUUGAAAGCUAUUGUUUAACUGGGAAAAUUUAUUAUCUAAUAAAUAAACUGAGAAAGAACGAACGAACAUAUUUAACACUACCGUCACACAGUUACACACAUUCUUCAAGUAUGAAAAUUUCAACUUUACCACAAUUGCACUUGUUUUUGCGAUCAGUGUUUCCAAGAUAUUUUUUUUACAACUUCCAUGUAGAAGUUAGAACUGAAAUAAUCAUAAUAAUGCGGAAACCUAAUCAAAGUGGUGAUAUGACUAAAUGGAACCCUUAAAUAUAUAUGAUAAAUAUUAAGAUAAAGUAAACAUAUAUAUUUAAAGCUGGUAAGUCUGGACACUCAAUCACAUAUAUUCUUGACAUUGUAUUCACUACUCUGACUCUGAUUAUGUUGAUGAUGUUUCUUCGCUAGACACUUUAGACUUUGAAAUAAUAAUAUUGCCAGUGGUCUUUGUUAAGAGAAAUUUUAUUUGACACUUCUUCAGUGCGUUUAAUUGCAUGUACUUGACUUAUGUUCUCAUUACUUUGCAUGCAUAAGUAAAUGAAUAUUCCUUUACACCACACAUUUGUGCAUCAGCGGUAAAUUGAAAUAUUCAUGUCAAAUAAAUAUUGAAUUUGAAUUUAAAAUUAAACGUACAGGGUCUGACAUAAUUUAAAGCUUGCGAAAUCGGAAAAUAAAUUUAUCAUAUUUCACCAACUUAAAAGAAUAAAAGAAAAUGUAUUGACAUCCGUUCCUUUUAGCACGAUUUCAAUUGUUUUUUCUACAUGGUUAAGUAAACUAAAAUUCAAAACGUUAUAAUUUUACCACAAUCACAUAGGCGAUUAAUGACAAUUGGCCGCCAAAGUAGACGAUUAAUCAAUUGCAUAAGUCUCAGACAAUUCAUAACUAAACCGGUCUCAGUUAUUUGUGUUCUAUUAUAUAAUUUUACUUAAAGGUAUUUUAGAGGCCUAGCAGUACAUCAAUGUUAAUAGUUUCGUACAUACGCAACUAUUAUCAUAUCAAGUUUGAGGUAAGUGAAAUUUAUCGUAAAAUGCUCUGAGAAAUGUAUUUGAAUAUUCUUCACUAGAAAAUCUUUAAAAUAAUAAUAUCUUAAAUGUACAAUGAUGUAAAUUUAUUGCAUUUUAGCGACUGCAGAAAUAAAAUGUGUACAACAAUUUUCAGCAUAUCACAAAAACCUUUGUAAGCCGGGUAAAAACGUGAUAUUUUUAUGUGUUAAAUAUAUAUAUUAAUCAAUAUGUAUAAUAUAUAUUGAAAAAAUCAUAUCAAUAAAGGCUUUUGUACGUUAGCAGUGACUUUGUUCACAACUUAUCAUUAUAUUACUUUUUUGCAUAUCGUACACUUGUAUUAUAAAUCAGUUUCAUUAAAAUCCAUCUACGUGCUUUCGAAAGUUUUACGUUCUACAUAAAUUAUACCACAAAAUCAUAUCAUCAGGUAAAACUCUUUACUUAUCUGGAAAAGGAUUAGGUAGCAAAUACACGACACAUUUAGUUGCUUGUCAUUGACAAUUUCAACGGGUUCAUCCACGUUUGCUGAAAAAAGUAAACUAUUUCAUAUUUCAAUUGUAAAAGCUUACUAUACACAUGAUUGGCCAAAAUCCUAAACCUAUCAUGAUAAAAUCUUGUUACUUUUAAAUACAUUUGACAAUAUUUAACGCAAUAUUCGUUUGAUUGUUUCCCAUUUCCAUGACUGCAAAUAAGUAAUCAAAUCAAGUUAAGUUUAACCAUAACUUCAAUUCAAUAUAUGUUUUAUGUUUUAGAAUUGUUAUCAGUGUCAGGAACAGCAGUUUCAUGCUAGAAUUAUUAUUAUAACGUAACACCACAUAAUGAUAUAUGUUUCUUACAUAUGAAAUAAAGUUGUAAGAAACUUGUGGACCUGCCAUCCUCAUUUUCAGUGAUUACAAUACACGAUGGAAUAUAAAGUUAAAAUACAUUUAAAUAAAAAUUAAUCAAUCGUAUUGUCAAGAAAUAUUAUUGAACGUAGAAUCACUUACUUCAUUCAUUUAAAAAAGUAGUGUUAUUUUGAAUUUGGUAAAUAAAUAACGCCCUCAACAUGUUUGCAAUUUUACGGUUUCUUACUAACACUUUCUAUAUGAUAAGAUAUUAACUAACUGAAGUCUCUUAACAAUUAAAUUGGACACAUUUGCGUUACCCUAAAAUAAGGAUUCACCCAUUUUUAUAAUUGGCUGCUAUCUGCUAUUUUAAAAGUAGACCAGCCGCAUGAUAGAAUACUUAACAGCCAACAUUAAUUAGGCUGUCAGAUUAGUAUCAAGGAAUUACCAUGACUUUUGCAAUGGAUAUAUUACGUGACUUUAUGACCGUGUGUUAUAGUCCUAAGAGAUGGAUACAUUAUGUGGGGUUUCUUUAGUUGUAACCUUAUUGUAAUUAUCGCAAGUGAAGUAAUGUUUUUAUUUUAAUUGAAUUAAAAUAAUUACCUAUUUUUCUGUUCAAUUCCCAGUGGAUUUUGUCCGAUCAGGCACUAAUGCCAACAAAUAUAUCAGUGAAAAACAGAUGCUUAUUAAAUGAUUUUGAUAGAAAUUAGCAAAAACCCGCCAGUGAUAUGUUUAAACGAACGGAAAUUUGUAGAAGACAUAUUCAAUCUUACAGUUAUCAAACUCUGAUUGCGUUAAUUUAUCAUGUAAAAUGUCGGUAUAGAUCAGAUUCUUAUAAUAAGCUUUGAGGAUGGAAAUAACAUAAAGAAAUGACACGGUCUUGUCCACACAGAAUGCUGUUCUGAUUUCAAUUAAUACGUGUUAUAUGCUCUUUUUCCGUAUGUGAUGAUUUUAUUUUCUACUUUCGUUUUUGUUUGUUUACAUCCGUUUUUCAUAGUACCUGUACAACGAAAGUACCAACGGCCUGUUAAUCUAUUAAAACACUAAUAAAUAUGUACUAAUAAAGUGAUCUGUCUUGUCAAGAACAUCGCCUAGAUGCUUCAGCAUCUAAUCAAUAUCCUCCAAACGCUUUCCAAACGCUGUUAUAAAAGUUUUUCAUUCAGGAAUUACCCAAUCCACCGUAAUUUGCUGUGAGCUUUAUCCGGAGAAUCACAAAGAUCAAGAAACAAUCAAAACAGUCGUUUCUAAUUCUAAAGCUAAUCAGAAUUGUUCUUCCUGAAAACAGUAAUUCAUUCAGUCUGGAGAUGGCGCUUUCGUCAUUUCAGAGAAGCUUUCAUAAUAGAUUUUCAAUACACAUCAAGCGUCAACAAACCAAAACAGCCUUCGUAAAUAAUUAUUCAUGGAAAGUCACGAACUUUCCCCAUAAAGAGCUGAGUUCCCUGUUACUCCAGGUCUUUUUUGCUUAACACAUUGGACGAUCAACAUCACACUAAAAAUAUGAAAUAUAUAUAAUAAUGUACAUUUCAAGCCAAAGAAAAGCAUCUUGUAAGCAGAACAUUUUGUCCACCAGUCAUUCUGUCUUUUCAGAAAGUCAAUAGAGCGUCUUUCUCAUUGAACACUCUGUUCGUAGAGCAUUUUGAUCUAGCAUUUUUGUUAAACACACAUCCUACCUAAAUGGUGUUUAAUCUGACAUUUUUUCAUUAGACAUUCUGUCCGGACACAUUGUUAAAAAUGUGUUCAUCAAAUUUUUUCAUCAGACAUUUGUUUGGACACAUUGUUAAACAUUUAUCCAUCAUACGUUUUGUCAUCAGACAUUUGUCCUGACACAUUGUUAAACAUUGUUCAUCGUACAUUUUGUCAUCAGACAUUUGUCCGGACACACUGUUAAACAUUUGUCUAUCAUAUAUUUUGUCAUCAGACAUUUUGUCCGGAUACAUGAUAAACAUUUGUCCAUCAUACAUUUUUUUCAUCAGACAUUUGUCCGGACACAUUGUUAAACAUUUGUCAAUCAUACGUUUUGUCAUCAGACAUUUGUCCGGACACAUUUUUAAACAUUUGUCCAUCAUACGUUUUGUCAUCAGACAUUUGUCCCGACACAUUUUUAAACAUUUGUCCAUCAUACAUUUGUCAUCAGACAUUUGUCUGGACAUAUUGUUCAAACAUUUUGUUCAUCAUACAUUUUGUCAUUAGACAUUUUGUCCAGACAUAUUGUUUGAACAUUUGAUUCGUCAAACAUUGCGUCAAAAGACAUGUUUUCUAACAUUUUUUACAUAAACAGACAUAAUUCCGGACACGUUGUUCAAACAUUUUGUUCAAUAGAAAUUUUGUCUCACAUAUUGGCCGAACGCUUUGAUUUAGCGUACAUUUUGUGGAAAGAGCAUAUUUUCCUAGCAUCUUGAUUCAACAUUGCGUUUGACACACAUUUUUUUUUUUGAAGCAACGUAAUAGCCGAGUGGAUUGUUCAUUGAGCAUCUUGUCCUGGAGAGUGCUCAAACGUCUUGUUCUGCAACAUAAAGUAGCAUCGUUCAAUUCAUUCUUACACAAAGUAUCAUUUGAGACCCAACGUGAUGCAGCAGCUCGUAUCUCUACAUCUUGUAUGCUGACUGUUAUAGCAUCUUUAAAAUAACUAAUAUUAUCCUAUCAUUUAUCUACAACUUACGUGUUUACAAUAUGUGAAUACACAUCUGGUUUACCUGAUAGGACUUCACAUACAAUCCGUUGUACUUUC
rnacentral:lncRNA from 1 species